CAGAAGUUUAUUCUCCUGUAGUUCUGGAAGUGAGAAACUGAAAAUCAAGGUGUUGGAUAGGCCAUGCUCUCCAUGAAGCCUCUAGUGUAUAAAUAGAACCUCAGAAGAUGGUUAAGCUGAAGAGAGAGCCUUAAGAGGACAGCAUUCCAGCAGGAUCAAUUAACAGUUUGAAUAUGAAGAAUGAAAGCAAGGAAUUUCCUGGGGCACAAGUGUCCUGCCAGCAUCAACUUUGGAAGAUCUUCUAUGGAAGAAAAAUUAAGGAUGUUCUUUUGCUGUCUGUCCACUAAUUAUUCAAGAUGCUGAUUGUAGUAACUGUAGAUCACCUUUAAUGAUUGCAUGGAAGGGGCGAAAUACUCUGCUGGAUGAGAGACAUUCUAUUCUAUUCUUCUACUAAUUGAUCUUAUGUCUGGACAACAAGAAGAUUUUGAACUUGCUGUUUCUGAAAGAUGGCUGAUCUACACAUAGAAAAUCUGAAGACUCAUCACAUCACUACCAGAGGAAGAUUGUUUCAAAAAAUGGCUCCAAUUAUCUGUUUCAUUCUACCUGCCCUUUUCUUCUCUCAUCAAGAGGUGGUGUCUCUUUCUCUUCUCUUUGUGUCAGUACCAGCCUUGUGACUUGCAUUGGCCAAUAGAACGGUGGAAAUCAUGCUGUGUGAUUUCUAGUCCAAGGCCUUAAGAGGUCUUGCAGCCUCCUUUUUGCCUUCUGGGAAACAAGUCACAUGGGAAAGGGAUCAAGCUAGACUACUGAAUUAUGAGAGGCCAGCUGGAGAGAGAGUGGUUCCAGCCUCCCAUCCAUUUUUGCUGAAGCCCAGACGUAUGGGUGAUGCCAUCUUGAACUUUACAGUUCAGCCCAGUCACCAACUGAAUGUAGUACCAGCUGAGUCCAGGUAAGAUAAGCAGAAGAACCACUUAGUCGAUCUAUAAAAUUAUGACAAUAAAGAGUAUUCUUUUAAGCCAAUAAGUUAUGUAA